rnacentral:rRNA from 1 species
GACGAACGCUGGCGGAGUGCUUAACACACGCAAGUCGAGCGAGUGGCGGACGGGUGAGUAAUGUCUGGGAAACUGCCCGAUGGAGGGGGAUAACUACUGGAAACGGUAGCUAAUACCGCAUACCAUCGGAUGUGCCCAGAUGGGAUGUGCUAGUAGGUGGGGUAACGUCUCAACUAGGCGACGAUCCCUAGCUGGUCUGAGAGGAUGACCAACCAAACUGGAACUGAGACACGGUCCAGCCUCCUACGGGUGGCAGCAGGGGGGAAUAUUGCACAAUGGGCGCAAGCCUGAUGCAUCCAUGCCGCGUGUAUGAAGAAGUCCUUCGGGUUGUAGAGUACUUUCAGCGAGGAGGCGUUACUCGCAGAAGAAGCACCGGCUAACUCCGUGCCAGCCGCCGCGGUAAUUC